UACAGAGGUCUCAAGCGUUUGUUCGGAUUCAUUGGGCGUAAAGGGUGCGUAGGCGGCGCGGUAAGUCGGGUGUGAAAUCUUGGAGCUUAACUCCGAAACUGUAUUCGAUACUGCCGUGCUUGAGGACUGGAGAGGAGACUGGAAUUUACGGUGUAGCGGUGAAAUGCGUAGAUAUCGUAAGGAAGACCAGUGGCGAAGGCGGGUCUCUGGACAGUUCCUGA
rnacentral:rRNA from 1 species